rnacentral:tRNA from 1 species
CGGAGUGUGGCUCAGCCUGGUAGAGCACUACGUUCGGGACGUAGGGGUCGCAGGUUCAAAUCCUGCCACUCCGA